UGAACGCUGACAGAAUGCUUAACACAUGCAAGUCGAUUCGAUUUACCUUCGGGUAUUGAGGAUGGCGGACGGGUGAGUAACGCGUAAGGAACUUGCCUCUUGGUCUGGGACAACUGUUGGAAACGACAGCUAAUACCGGAUAUUAUGAGAUUCUCGCAUGGGAAACUUAUGAAAGCUAUAUGCGCCAAGAGAGAGCCUUGCGUUCCAUUAGCUAGUUGGUGGGGUAACGGCCCACCAAGGCGACGAUGGAUAGCCGGCCUGAGAGGGUGAACGGCCACAAGGGGACUGAGACACGGCCCUUACUCCUACGGGAGGCAGCAGUGGGGAAUAUUGGACAAUGGGCCACAAGCCUGAUCCAGCAAUUCUGUGUGCACGAUGAAGGUCUUCGGAUUGUAAAGUGCUUUCAGUUGGGAAGAAGAAAGUGACGGUACCAACAGAAGAAGCGACGGCU
rnacentral:rRNA from 1 species